UGCGUAGGCGGCUGAUUAAGUAGGGUGUGAAAUCCCUCGGCUCAACCGAGGAAUGGCGCUCUAAACUGGUCGGCUUGAGUGAGAUAGGGGUGUGCGGAACUUCCGGUGGAGCGGUGAAAUGUGUUGAUAUCGGAAGGAACGCCGGUAGCGAAAGCGGCACACUGGGUCUCAACUGACGCUGAGGCACGAAAGCGAGGGUAGCGGAACG
rnacentral:rRNA from 1 species